AACCGGCACCUAGGGAGAAAUUCAGAGUUUCCUUGCCAUAAAUACCCCCAAGCUCCAAGACGCCUGACGUCAGAGCGGGGCGGGCGGGCGGGCGGGGAGGGAGCAGCCUGGCCGCUGGAGCCCGAGCGGGGAGCGGGGAGCGGGGAGCGGGGAGCGGACCCGACCGCGCCGCGGGAGCGCAGGAGCGCCGGAGCGCCGGAGCCCCAGCCCAGCCGGGGCUGCAGGGGCCGCGCCGCGCCAUGGGGGCCUCCGGAUUGCGAUGAGGACCCCCGACUAACCCGCCCCUGCCUGCAAUGACCAUGGCCCCCCGCAAGAGGAGCCGCCAUGGCGUGGGCUUCCUGUGCUGCUUUGGAGGCAGCGACCUCUCUGAGAUGGACCUCCGGGACAGCCAUGCCUUGCAGUACAUGGAGUUCUCCAGCACCAUCCCGAACCCCGAGGAGCUCAACGUCCGCUUUGCAGAGCUGGUGGAUGAAUUGGAUCUCACAGACAAAAACCGGGAGGCUGUGUUUGCACUGCCCCCUGAGAAGAAAUGGCAGAUCUACUGCAGCAAGAAGAAGGAGCAGGAGGACCCCAACAAGCUGGCCACCAGCUGGCCCGACUAUUACAUUGAACGCAUCAACUCCAUGGCGGCGAUGCAGAGCCUGUACGCCUAUGAUGAGGAGGAGAUGGAGAUGAGGAACAAAGUUGUGGAGGACCUGAAGACGGCUCUCCGGACGCAGCCCAUGAGGUUUGUGACCCGCUUCAUCGAGCUGGAGGGCUUGGCCUGUCUGCUGAAUUUCCUGCGGAGCAUGGACCACGCUACCUGCGAGAGCCGCAUCCACACCUCCCUCAUCGGCUGCAUCAAGGCCCUGAUGAACAACUCCCAAGGGCGGGCCCACGUGUUGGCACAGCCCGAGGCCAUCAGCACCAUUGCCCAGAGCCUGCGCACCGAGAACAGCAAGACCAAAGUGGCUGUGCUGGAGAUCUUGGGUGCUGUGUGCUUGGUACCUGGAGGCCACAAGAAGGUGCUGCAGGCCAUGCUGCAUUACCAGGUGUAUGCGGCGGAGAGAACGCGCUUCCAGACCCUGCUGAAUGAGCUAGACCGAAGCUUGGGGCAGUACCGGGAUGAAGUGAACCUGAAAACAGCCAUCAUGUCCUUCAUCAACGCUGUCCUCAAUGCUGGAGCCGGGGAGGAUAAUCUGGAGUUCCGCCUCCAUCUCCGAUAUGAGUUUCUGAUGCUGGGGAUACAGCCCGUGAUCGACAAACUCCGGCAACAUGAGAAUGCCAUCCUGGACAAGCAUUUAGACUUCUUUGAGAUGGUCCGAAAUGAAGAUGACCUGGAGCUAGCCCGGAGGUUUGACAUGGUCCACAUCGACACGAAGAGCGCCUCCCAGAUGUUCGAGCUGAUCCACAAGAAGCUGAAGCACACGGAGGCCUACCCCUGCCUGCUCUCUGUCUUACACCACUGUCUGCAGAUGCCCUACAAGCGGAAUGGUGGCUUCUUCCAGCAAUGGCAGCUCCUGGACCGCAUCCUCCAGCAGAUUGUCCUGCAGGAUGAGUAUGGCGUUGACCCUGACCUGGCUCCUCUGGAGAACUUCAAUGUCAAGAACAUCGUCAAUAUGCUCAUCAACGAGAAUGAAGUGAAGCAGUGGAGAGACCAGGCGGAGAAGUUCCGGAAAGAGCACAUGGAGCUCGUGAGCCGGCUGGAGAGGAAGGAGCGGGAGUGUGAGACGAAGACAGUGGAGAAGGAGGAGAUGAUGAGGACGCUGAACAAGAUGAAGGACAAGCUGGCCCGAGAGUCCCAGGAGCUGCGCCAGGCCAGGGGACAAGUGGCCGAGCUGGUAGCCCAACUCAGUGAGAUCCCAACAGGCCCUUCGUCCUCCCCAUCUCCCCCUGGAGGCCCCCUUACCCUGUCUUCCUCCAUGACAACCAGUGACCUGCCUCCACCCCCACCUCCCCUCCCCUUCUCCUGUUGCCCCCCACCUCCCCCGCCACCCCUCCCACCUGGCGGGCCUCCCACCCCCCCAGGAGCCCCACCUUGCUUUGGCCAGGACCUGCCCCUGCCUCAGGACUCCUUUCCCAGCAGCCAUGCCCCACUCAGGAGAAAGCACAUCCCCCAGCCUUCCCAUCCGCUGAAGUCCUUCAACUGGGUCAAGCUGAAUGAGGAGCGAGUCCCCGGCACCGUGUGGAAUGAGAUGGAUGACAUGAAGGUAUUUCAGAUUCUAGACCUGGAGGAUUUUGAAAAGAUGUUUUCGGCUUAUCAGAGGCACCAGGAGCCGAUAACUAAUCCUAUUCACCAGAAAGAGCUGGGUUCCACCGAGGACAUUUAUUUGACCUCCCGAAAGGUCAAAGAGUUGUCGGUCAUCGAUGGCCGGAGGGCCCAGAACUGCAUCAUCCUCCUCUCCAAGCUGAAGCUUUCUAACGAGGAGAUCCGGCAGGCCAUCUUGAAGAUGGACGAGCAGGAGGACCUUGCUAAAGACAUGCUGGAGCAGCUCCUCAAGUUCAUUCCAGAGAAGAGCGAUAUCGACCUCCUUGAGGAACACAAGCACGAGAUUGAGCGGAUGGCGAGGGCCGAUCGCUUCCUCUAUGAGAUGAGCAGGAUCGACCACUACCAGCAACGACUGCAGGCCCUGUUCUUCAAGAAGAAGUUCCAAGAGCGGCUGGCGGAGGCCAAACCCAAAGUGGAAGCCAUCCUGCUGGCCUCCCGGGAGCUGACCUGCAGCAGGCGGCUAAAGCAGAUGCUGGAGGUGGUCCUGGCCAUUGGCAACUUCAUGAACAAAGGGCAGCGUGGGGGUGCCUAUGGCUUCCGGGUGGCCAGCCUCAACAAGAUCGUGGACACCAAGUCCAGCAUCGACAGAAACAUCUCCCUGCUCCACUACCUGAUCAUGAUCCUGGAGAAGCACUUUCCCGACAUCCUGAACUUGCCCUCGGAGCUGCAGCACCUUUCAGACGCCGCCAAAGUCAACCUGGCAGAGCUGGAGAAGGAGGUGAGCAACCUCAAGAAGGGCUUGCGCGCCGUGGAGGUGGAACUGGAAUAUCAAAGACAUCAAGUACGGGAGCCCAAUGACAAGUUUGUCCCGGUCAUGAGUGACUUCAUCACCGUGUCCAGCUUUAGCUUCUCAGAGCUGGAGGACCAGUUAAAUGAGGCCAGGGAUAAGUUUGCCAAGGCCUUGGUGCACUUCGGGGAACAGGAGAGCAAGAUGCAGCCCGAUGAAUUCUUUGGCAUCUUCGACACCUUCCUGCAAGCCUUCCUGGAGGCCCGGCAGGAUCUGGAGGCCAUGAGGAAGAAGAAGGAAGAGGAGGAGAGGCGGGCACGAAUGGAGGUCAUGCUGAAGGAGCAGCGGGAACGUGAGCGGUGGCAGCGGCAGCGGAAGGUCCUGGCCGGGAACUCGCUGGAGGAGGGAGGCGAGUUUGAUGACCUGGUGUCGGCCCUGCGCUCCGGGGAAGUGUUUGAGAAGGACUUAAGCAAGUUCAAGCGCAACCGCAAGCGCUCCACGAGCCAGGCCCCGGAGGUCACCCGUGAGCGGGCGAGAAACAGGCUGCAUUAUUGACCUGGGGCCGGGCCGGGCCGGGCCGGGGGCUGCGUGGAGGAGGUGGUGACUUGGGAAUAUUUGGUGCUGGGUUUGGAGCCCUGGGCUGGGUCCUGGGAGCUGCGUGUGGCUGGACCAGGUGUCUCCCCACACUUAACCUUAAGGGGUGUCUCUCACCUCCCUUUCAUAUUGUUUAUUCUCUCUGGGUGCCCAGGGGUCAUUUUGAGGUUGGCUUGGCUGUCCCUGGCAGGUCCUGGCCUCUUGCUAGGUAAUCGAUACCGAGAGGGCCCCAUCCUCCAUGCCGGGCAUCCGUGCCGAUGCCGAACUGUUCUAGAUCUAGACACCAGUGUCGGGAGGUGGGGGGGCUUGAACUCAGCUCUGGAGUGACAGGAACACGACUGACACGGGCCCGAGAGGCAGGGGGAGAGAAGCCCACCCUGCAUCCCUCCAGAAGAGGCUCUGGACACCAACGCUCCUCUUGAAGGGAAACCGAAGCGGCACUCACCGUGCAGGCUAGCUAGAUCAGCCCCGGGGAUGUUCCAGGAACGUGCCGCGGAGACAGGACCACGAGGGACCAAAGCCAUCAGGACAGAGCCGCAAGGCCUGUUUCCUGCGGAGCAAGCCCUCCGGCCUCCCCUUCUGUCCUCGGCCUCACCUCCCUGCUAUCCACCAACACAAAGCCAGAAAACUCACCCUUGGGCUUCAAGGACUUCUGCUCACCGCCAGGCCCGAGGUGAAUCUGGACAGCAAAGGGGCCUGAGAAACCUCCUCCGUCACCACGCCUCAUGCUUGGGUCUGAGGACCCUGUAGCUACUCUCCGUGCCACCUGGCCACCAUUCACCAGCAAGACAGUGACCCCCACCUGUCACCCUAAGUGCUUAGUCACCCCCUCAUCAGAGGGCAACCCUGGGAAGCUCGGAAGUGAGCCCCAGGUCUACCCCUUACUGUUACUCACCCAGACACCCCUCUACCUUCUUUAAUACCAGUUACCCGGCAAAGCCACAGUGAAAAUCCCCACUCUCCAUUGCACUGGUUCUAUGUGGUCCUGAGGGCCAGGGUCGGCCGAUGCAUUCCAAGGAGGCAUUUGGACUGGUGUCUGUGGGGGGAGGGGGAGGGCACGAAGACAGAGGGGGGAGACUGGCGAGAGAGAUGGGGAUGGGGGAGAACUCCCUUCCUUGGGGCCAUCACUGCCUGAAGGAGUCAAGAGAGGAAGACGUAGGAGGCACCCACCAACUCGGGGGUUCCAUUUUAUUCUUCACUCCGAUUUGUGGGAGUCCGUCCCGGCUCUGCCGUCCAAUGCUGCCUUCCGUGCUGGCUGUGGCGUUAGAGUGUGGGCUGAUGUAUGUGCAAGGAUGGUUUUUCUGAAUGGAAGUGGGGGAGGCCAAUGCUUUCAGGGUCUUACUUUCAACACGCCCUCCUCUCAUCUUGCACAAGGUGAGCUGCCUGAGCCUCCACCAUUAGAACGGUCUCUGGCCCUUCUGCCCCUUCCCCUUCCCUUCCUUAUCCAAUCCCCGGCCUGGCUCAGGACCGGUACCUGCAGACAAGUCUGCUGGGCUGGACUGACUCCCCAAUGUGAGACUCGUGGGGUGAGACCCCAGCAGCUGCGUGCGUGCGAGCGUAGCAAGUGCACUAGGCGAGCCCAGCACGGGCAUCGGUGGUGCGAGCGGGGCAGGCAGGUGGGUUCCGCCGGGAGGGAUCUGAGCAAAUGCACACGCCUGGCUGGCACAGGUGUGAAGCGGACACCUGGGACCCAGGCGAGGGCAAGAUGAAGCUUUCUAGGAAGGCAGCUGCCAAGAGCUGCGGGCGGGGUCCCAGGGGAUGGGGGAGGGUUCCACCUCCAUCCAUCAGCAACAUCCACGUCCUGGCAUCCCCACCUGCGAUGGAGGACCUGGCACGAACCAGGGAAGGUGAGUUCGAGGCUGUUCCAGACACGUCGGAUCCUCAGCCAAGCAGAGUUUGGCUUUCCUGUUUACAGAGGGCAGAUGCGUUGUUCCAGAACCCCCAGAACCCCACUUCCUUACCCUCCUGCCAGCAUUUUGUUUUCCUUCCCUAUUUAUUAUUUCCUCGAUUUGGCCGGUGGCUCCGAUACGAGGAUGCCACUGUCACCGGGAUGCCGCUGUCACCAGGUUCUGGCGGCGGCGUGGACUGUGGGCCGUUGUGAGUCCGCUCGGCAAGAAGGGGCCCGCGGGGGCGGCAGGGCCGGUCCUUGAGGUGAAGUCGCCAUGGCGACUGCGGUGGUGUUCUCUGGUCUUGCUUUCUCCAGCGAGGGGGCAUGGGGGGGGGCCCACCUUUUGCCGCCUGUUAUCCUCCCCCCUCUCCCCCCCCCCGCCAGCUAAUUUGGUGUCCAGUGUAAAAUUCAGUCAAAAUCUAAUACAACCCUCUCAGCGGCAGGCCCCUCCCCAUCCCAUGAGGGCUGUUUAGGGGUGUGUGUGUGUGUGUGUGUGUGUGUGUGUGUGUGUGUGGUCCUCCAUGUGGAAGGGAACCCCAUCCCCUGGGUUGUGGACAUCUGGGGUGCUGUGACCUUUCCCCUGGGGACCUCUACCAAAGGUACCAAGGCUGCUGCUGCUCCCAUCAGCUGCCUCAGGUGACAAAAUGAGGCUUGUGUAAAAAAGGGUUUUGUUUUUUUUUUUACUUGCACCUUUAAAAAAAAAGAAUAUAUUAUAAUACUAAAAACAAAUAAAAAACCCUAUUAAAUCCAUACCACCCCUACCCUGCCUGCCUAGAAACGUGUUAUCUUUCCAUGAAGGGACUUGGG